rnacentral:rRNA from 1 species
GACGGAGGAUGCAAGUGUUAUCCGGAAUCACUGGGCGUAAAGCGCACGUAGGUGGUAUUGCAAGUUAGGGGGUGAAAUCCUGGGGCUCAACUCCAGAACUGCCUUUGAUACUGAGGAUCUUGAGUUCGGGAGAGGUGAGUGGAACUGCGAGUGUAGAGGUGAAAUUCGUAGAUAUUCGCAAGAACACCAGUGGCGGAACGGCGGAGCUCACUG